rnacentral:tRNA from 1 species
GGGGGUGUCGUUCAGUGGUAGGACCUUGGUCUCCAAAACCAAUGACGUGGGUUCGAUUCCUACCACCCCUGCCA